CCGUUGUUUUGUUUUGGAUUGUAGUUUGUAACUUCAUCUAAACAAUUUAGCAAUUAUCUGGCCAUUUUUACGUUGAGUUGAGCAACUGCUUCUCCGUUCUCUAUCUGUUGAUACUACUUUCGCGAAAGGACGCUUUAUUAAUUGUGUUGUGUGUUACGUGUUUUAUUGAAAAUGACGAGUUUGCAAUGCAUCAAUUGCAAUGUUCGCUUGUCCCAAAGAAGAAGACACGCUUUAUCAAAUGACGGUGAAGAUAUCGUCAACACUAAUCGUCUGUGGACAUAUCUUAGAGAUAUUACACCAGAUGACCAUGUUUACCAUGAAUGCUGGCAGCUAGCUAGUCAUUCAUGUUCUUCUGAUAAUAUGCCGAGAAGACACAUAGGCCAUCAGUGUUUGUGUUGUAUGUGGACAACCCAUACUAAGAAUCAGGCAAUGCAGAAUUUUGAUUGAAGAAGAACAAAGAACGGCUUACACAAUUGCUACUUGGAUCUAACCACGACAGCUUCAUCCUGAAGAUAAAGCUUGUGUGCGGUGUUGGUUAAGAGUGAGAACUAAGGAUACUUCACUAAAUGAAGAUAUUCAAUCCGUUGAACCUAAUCAGCAGAAAAGUGAUAAUUCUGAACUGAUGUGUGCUGCAUGUGGUCAAAGUCUUACUCCCAACAACACUGCUUGUUU